UAACACGUAGGGGGCAAGCGUUGUCCGGAUUCAUUGGGCGUAAAGAGCUCGUAGGCGGCUCAGCAAGUCAGGUGUGAAACCUCCGGGCUCAACCCGGAGACGCCACCUGAUACUGCUGUGGCUAGAGUCCAGUAGGGGAGCGUGGAAUUCCCGGUGUAGCGGUGAAAUGCGCAGAUAUCGGGAGGAACACCAGUGGCGAAGGCGGCGCUCUGGGCUGGAACUGACGCUGAGGAGCGAAAGCGUGGGGAGCGAACAGGAUUAGAUACCCUGGUAGUCCACGCCGUAAACGUUGGGCACUAGGUGUGGGGCGGUACCAACCCGUUCCGUGCCGUAGCUAACGCAUUAAGUGCCCCGCCUGGGGAGUACGGCCGCAAGGCUA
rnacentral:rRNA from 1 species